GUAAGUGGCUUUGAUCCCCACCAUGAUGAGCUGGCCAUAAGCCCUAAAACAGUGGGCCUAAGUGACCAUGGACUAGAGUCUCUGAGACUGUGAUUUUACAUAACACUUGCCUUCCUGCUGGCUGUUGUGUUACAGGGAUACAAAGGUGAGGAAUACAUUUUUUUUUUUUUUUUUUUAACCCUUAGAAUCUCUCAUGUGUAUAUCCUAAGGUCAAGAGCAUUCUCUUACCCAAACUCAGGCCAGUGACUACCAUCACAACAUGAACAUGGCACACACUGCUGUCUGAUGCAUAUGUAUGAAUUUAUUGGGGGCAUUUAGUCAUCAGGCCUCCUCAGUCUCCUCCAAUCCUGAACAGUUCCUCAGUCUUCCUUGUCUUUGUGGUCUCAUCCUUUUUUUUUUUUUUGGUACCAGGGAUUGAACUCAGGACCUUGUGCUUGCAAGGCAGUUGACUGCACUACUGAGCUAACUCCCCAGCCCUCAUUCUUUUGGAAGUACACAGGAAAAUCACUUUGUGGAAUGCCACCAGUUGGGGUUUGUCAAGAGAUUAGGUGUGGGGCCUUUAAAGAAACUGAAAAUGAGGUUGGCUCCUCCUGUUAUCACGGCAGGAGGCCCCAAGGGCCAACAGUCUGUCGCUGUGCUGACAGGUACUGACUUUGAUCCAGGGUCAGGUGGAUACUCCACGUUUCUCCAAUGAAAAGUUACUGUUUUUCCUGUUAUAAUCAACAAGCAUUUCACCGGGCUAUACUUUUUUUUUUUUUUUGGUACCAGGGAAAGAACUCGGGGCCUUGGGCUUGCAAGGCAGCCGCUGGAACCACUGAGCUAAAUGCCCGGCCCCUGGGGCUAUACUUUUAAAUAUACUUUUAGACUUGCACUCUCUAAAUUUAGCAUACAAUGAUAAUUCUCGCCAGAAUCAACUGUUAUUAUGAUUAUUGUCAAAUCAUUGUGUUUCUAUGUCAUCUUUUAAAUAUAUAUUUAUUAAUGACUUUCAUUAUACAGUAAGGAAAACUGCCAUCCAUCCAUCUAUCCAUCAGUCAUCUAUCUCUCCAUUACUAAUGCUCAGUUUCUCAUUUUAUUCAGUGACUUGUUCUUUUAUCAUUAUUUAUUGUGAUGGUUAAAUCCUCAGGGCUGCUCCUGGGAGCCCCCUGAGCUGGCUCCUGUGUCCUAUGGACAUGUCCUCUUAUUCUCUGACCCUGUCCUUACUUUCUGACAUAACAAGAGGUCCAGGUUCAGAGUUGCCUGUCCUUGUUCCAGCCCUGGAAGCAGUAAAAUUAGGACUCAUACCUGAGUGCAGAGCUGCUCAUUGCUAAUGAUGUUUCUCAUCCCGGGCACUUUUGUUUUCAGGGGACCUUUGGCAGUGUCUGGAAACAGGUUUGGUUGUCUCCUGCUCAGGAGAAAGGUGUUAGAGCCGUCUAGUGGGCAGAGGUCAGGGAUGCUGACCAACAUCCUGCAGAACAUAGACGGCUCCUGAACAAAGAAUUACCAGGUUCCAAAGGUGCUUAGCGGGGAGCUGAGGUUCUUUGUUCUAACCUCUCAGCUGAUGGAGAUGGGAUGUAUACAUGGGACCACAACUGCAGGCUUUAUAUUGUCGGUUUCUACAUUGAAAACUAUGAGCUCACAUUGACACUAAUUCCAACACAAUCGGGUUCAUUCUAGUCAUCCUUUUCCUUGGCCAAUAAACCCAGAUUCCAUUAUCAUCAUUGAUUCCUUUACAGUGGACUCUUGACUUACAAACUCAAUUUGUUCCCGAGGGCUGGUUGUAACUCAAAUUGGUCAAUUGGAGGUUCAGACUCCUUUACACAGGCUUCAAAGUCUCUUUCUUGUAUACAGGCAGAUCUCCAUGUCCUUAGAGAGACAUUGGCCCAGGAUUUAUCAGUUAACCUCACACAGGAAAGGAUGGUAUAAUGUUCCUUCCAGAACUCUUUAAGGGUUAAAUCUGUAUCUGAGACCAUCUGGAAGCAUUUGGGUCAUAACUCAAGAUUUUGUUUGUAAGUUAAAACUAAAAUUCUGGUCAUAACCCAAGUUGUUCAUAUGUCAGGCUGGUCACAACUUGAGGGUCUACUUUAGUUUCCUAAUUCUAGAAUCUAAAAAAGUGAAGCAUUUUUUUAGAUUCAUGUUUCCCAGUUUGUUUGCAGAUUUGACUUCUGAAGUCCCCUCUCCUAAAAACAAAGGGUCUGAAGAUCAAAGUCAUCUGUGAAAGGUCGAAUAGAUUUAAUCAACUUCUUUAUUGCAGAAACAGCUCCUGGUCUGCUGCUGGCCCUUAGUGGAAACUGAAUGCUUGACCAUGGGAUGCCAUGUGACUGACCUGAGCUGCCCAUCAUGAGCUGGGUGCUCUGUGGCCCACCAGAUCAUAAAGUUGGAUGUCUACAGCAACAGCCCAUCAUUAAAUGGAAGUGGUAUAUAUGUGAUCGGGGUGAGCAGAUCAAGAAGGUAUAAGUAAGUUAC
rnacentral:lncRNA from 1 species